UGGGGCGUCGACAAGCGGUAAGUCACGAGUUUUUGGUACUCGCAUGCGUUGGUUCGAAUCCAGCCGCCCCAGCCA
rnacentral:tRNA from 2 species